AUGUACCAGUCGUACACUCCGGUUACUGCGCGCCGUCCGCACCCACCUGACGACUGCUCGCUAUGUUUUGUUAGCC
rnacentral:sRNA from 1 species